GGCGGACGGGUGAGUAACACUGUGGGUAACCUGCCUGUAAGACUGGGAUAACUCCGGGAAACCGGGGCUAAUACCGGAUGGUUGUCUGAACCGCAUGGUUCAGACAUAAAAGGUGGCUUCGGCUACCACUUACAGAUGGACCCGCGGCGCAUUAGCUAGUUGGUGAGGUAACGGCUCACCAAGGCGACAAUGCGUAGCCGACCUGAGAGGGUGAUCGGCCACACUGGUGACUGAGACACGGUCCCAGACUCCUACGGGAGGCAGCAGUAGGGAAUCUUCCGCAAUGGACGAAAGUCUGACGGAGCAACGCCGCGUGAGUGAUGAAGGUUUUCGGAUCGUAAAGCUCUGUUGUUAGGGAAGAACAAGUGCCGUUCAAAUAGGGCGGCACCUUGACGGUACCUAACCAGCAAAGCCACGGCUAACUACGUGCCAACAGCCGCGGUAAUACGUAGGUGGCAAGCGUUGUCCGGAAUUAUUGGGCGUAAAGGGCUCGCAGGCGGUUUCUUAAGUCUGAUGUGAAAGCCCCCGGCUCAACCGGGGAGGGUCAUUGGAAACUGGGGAACUUGAGUGCAGAAGAGGAGAGUGGAAUUCCACGUGUAGCGGUGAAAUGCGUAGAGAUGUGGAGGAACACCAGUGGCGAAGGCGACUCUCUGGUCUGUAACUGACGCUGAGGAGCGAAAGCGUGGGGAGCGAACAGGAUUAGAUACCCUGGUAGUCCACGCCGUAAACGAUGAGUGCUAAGUGUUAGGGGGUUUCCGCCCCUUAGUGCUGCAGCUAACGCAUUAAGCACUCCGCCUGGGGAGUACGGUCGCAAGACUGAAACUCAAAGGAAUUGACGGGGGCCCGCACAAGCGGUGGAGCAUGUGGUUUAAUUCGAAGCAACGCGAAGAACCUUACCAGGUCUUGACAUCCUCUGACAAUCCUAGAGAUAGGACGUCCCCUUCGGGGGCAGAGUGACAGGUGGUGCAUGGUUGUCGUCAGCUCGUGUCGUGAGAUGUUGGGUUAAGUCCCGCAACGAGCGCAACCCUUGAUCUUAGUUGCCAGCAUUCAGUUGGGCACUCUAAGGUGACUGCCGGUGACAAACCGGAGGAAGGUGGGGAUGACGUCAAAUCAUCAUGCCCCUUAUGACCUGGGCUACACACGUGCUACAAUGGACAGAACAAAGGGCAGCGAAACCGCGAGGUUAAGCCAAUCCCACAAAUCUGUUCUCAGUUCGGAU
rnacentral:rRNA from 1 species